CCUACGGGAGACAGCAGUGAGGAAUAUUGGUCAAUGGGCGCGAGCCUGAACCAGCCAAGUAGCGUGAAGGAUGACUGCCCUACGGGUUGUAAACUUCUUUUAUAAAGGAAUAAAGUGGGGCACGUGUGCCUUUUUGUAUGUACUUUAUGAAUAAGGAUCGGCUAACUCCGUGCCAGCAGCCGCGGUAAUACGGAGGAUCCGAGCGUUAUCCGGAUUUAUUGGGUUUAAAGGGAGCGUAGGUGGGUUGUUAAGUCAGUUGUGAAAGUUUGCGGCUCAACCGUAAAAUUGCAAUUGAAACUGGCAGCCUUGAGUACAGUAGAGGUAGGCGGAAUUCGUGGUGGAGCGGUGAAAUGCUUAGAUAUCACGAAGAACUCCGAUUGCGAAGGCAGCCUACUAGACUGCCACUGACAUUGAGGCUCGAAAGUGUGGGUAUCAAACAGGAUUAGAUACCCCAGUAGUC
rnacentral:rRNA from 1 species